rnacentral:rRNA from 1 species
UACGGGAGGCAGCAGGGGGGAAUAUUGCACAAUGGGCGCAAGCCUGAUGCAGCCAUGCCGCGUGUAUGAAGAAGGCCUUCGGGUUGUAAAGUACUUUCAGUCGUGAGGAAGGUGUUAAGGUUAAUAACCUUAGCAAUUGACGUUAGCGACAGAAGAAGCACCGGCUAACUCCGUGCCAGCAGCCGCGGUAAUACGGAGGGUGCGAGCGUUAAUCGGAAUUACUGGGCGUAAAGGGCACGCAGGCGGUUAAUUAAGUUGGAUGUGAAAUCCCCGGGCUUAACCUGGGAAUGGCAUUCAAGACUGGUUAGCUAGAGUCUUGUAGAGGGGGUAGAAUUCCAUGUGUAGCGGUGAAAUGCGUAGAGAUGUGGAGGAAUACCGGUGGCGAAAGGCGGCCCCUGGACAAAGACUGACGCUCAUGUGCGAAAGCGUGGGGAGCGAAAACAGGGAUUAGAUACC